rnacentral:misc_RNA from 1 species
AAGUCGUAACAAGGUUUCCGUAGGUGAACCUGCGGAAGGAUCAUUAACACCCCCGUGAACUUUCAGCUUGCUCCUGUAGCGUGAACAGCAAUCCCUGGUAAAUCAUUGUUGACCAGCUUUUGAGUCAUAUUGUGAUAUUUUAUAGCUACGGUUGAGCGAUUGCAUCUAGUGACCAAGUAAUCAGUGUCUGAAAGUGUCAUUGAUUAUGUAAGGAUGGCGCAGUCACGAUCGCUGUAGGCACACACGGCCGACGACCGGUUCACCGGGCUGCCCCUUUACCACAACACAGUACGAAUUGGCCGCGCUGAAAUUCGCACUAACAAUGGAUAUCUC